rnacentral:rRNA from 1 species
CGUGUGCUUUCGGGAACUGUAAGACAGGUGCUGCAUGGCUGUCGUCAGCUCGUGUUGUUAAAUGUUGGGUUAAGUCCUGCAACUUGCGCAACCCUUAUCCUUGUUUGCCAGCAUUUAGGGUGGGAACUCCAGGGAGACUGCCGGUGAUAAACCGGAGGAAGGUGGGGACGACGUCAAGUCAUCAUGGCCCUUACGAGUAGGGCUACACACGUGCUACAAUGGCGCAUACAGAGGGCGGCCAACUUGCGAAAGUGAGCGAAUCCCAAAAAGUGCGUCGUAGUCCGGAUUGGAGUCUGCAACUCGACUCCAUGAAGUCGGAAUCGCUAGUAAUCGUGGAUCAGAAUGCCACGGUGAAUACGUUCCCGGGCCUUGUACACACCGCCCGUCACACCAUGGGAGUGGGCUGCAAAAGAAGUGGGUAGUUUAACCUUCGGGAGGACGCUCACCACUUUGUGGUUCAUGACUGGGGUGAAGUCGUAACAAGGUAACCG